rnacentral:rRNA from 1 species
AUUAUGGUAUUCAACUACCCUCCUUCUAAAUUCGAUAUAUGAGUAUUAAUUUACUUGUAUAUGGUUUUAGACGUUUACUGUGAGAAAAUUAGAGUGUUCAAAGCAGGCAUUUGCUUGAAUAUAUUAGCAUGGAAUAAUCAUGUAUGAUUUUCAUGAUGUAUUUGAUUGGUUUGGUUCAUGAGAAUAAGAUUAAAAGGGACAGGUGGGGGUAUUCAUAUUCAAUAGACAGAGGUGAAAGUCUCGGAUUUAUGGAAGAGGAACAAGUGCGAAAGAUUCUACCAAGGAUGUUUUCAGUAAUCAAGAACGAAAGUUAGGCGAUCGAAGAGGAUUAGAUACCCUCGUAGUCUUAAGUAUA